rnacentral:rRNA from 1 species
UUUGUAGGUGGCUUGCUUAGUCAGACGUGAAAUCCCUCAGCUUAACUGGGGAACUGCGUCUGAUACUGGCGAGCUUGAGUGCAGGAGAGGAACGCGGAAUUCCAGGUGUAGCGGUGAAAUGCGUAGAUAUCUGGAGGAACACCGGUGGCGAAGGCGGCGUUCUGGACUGCAACUGACACUGAAAAACGAAAGCCAGGGGAGCAAACG